GGUUGCGAUCAUACCAGCACUAAUGCACCGGAUCCCAUUAGAACUCCGCAGUUAAGCGUGCUUGGGCGAGAGUAGUACUAGGAUAGGUGACCCCCUGGGAAGUCCUCGUGUUGCAACCC
rnacentral:rRNA from 1 species